rnacentral:rRNA from 1 species
UGAUAGAAAUUUAAACACUUUUUAAAGUAUCAAUUGGAGGGCAAGUCUGGUGCCAGCAGCCGCGGUAAUUCCAGCUCCAAUAGCGUAUAUUAAAAUUGUUGCAGUUAAAAAGCUCGUAGUUAAAUUUCUGUUAAAAAUAACCGGUCUGCUUUUAUUAAAAGUGGUAUCUUGGUGUGUUUUUAGCAAUAAUGUCCUUUGAAAUGUUUUUUACUUUAUUGUAAUAAGUCAUUAUUUUGAGGAUUUUUACUUUGAGAAAAUUAGAGUGUUUCUAGCAGGCUUACACUUUUGAAUACUGCAGCAUGGAAUAAUAAGAUAGGAUUUUAGUUCUACAUUAUUGGUUUUAAGAACUAAAUUAAUGAUUGAUAGGGAUAGUUGGGGGCAUUUGUAUUUAACUGUCAGAGGUGAAAUUCUUAGAUUUGUUAAAGACAAACUAUUGCGAAAGCAUUUGCCAAAGAUGUUUUCAUUAAUCAAGAACGAAAGUUAGGGGAUCGAAG